GAUGGACGCUGGCGGCGUGCCUAACACAUGCAAGUCGAGCGAUUCUCUUCGGAGAAGAGCGGCGGACGGGUGAGUAACGCGUGGGUAACCUGCCCUGUACACACGGAUAACAUACCGAAAGGUAUGCUAAUACGGGAUAACAUAAGAAAUUCGCAUGUUUUUCUUAUUAAAGCUCCGGCGGUACAGGAUGGACCCGCGUCUGAUUAGCUAGUUGGUGAGGUAACGGCUCACCAAGGCAACGAUCAGUAGCCGACCUGAGAGGGUGAUCGGCCACAUUGGAACUGAGACACGGUCCAAACUCCUACGGGAGGCAGCAGUGGGGAAUAUUGCACAAUGGGCGAAAGCCUGAUGCAGCAACGCCGCGUGAGCGAUGAAGGCCUUCGGGUCGUAAAGCUCUGUCCUCAAGGAAGAUAAUGACGGUACUUGGGGAGGAAGCCCCGGCUAACUACGUGCCAGCCGCCGCGGUAAGAC
rnacentral:rRNA from 1 species